rnacentral:rRNA from 1 species
AGAGUUUGAUCCUGGCUCAGGACGAACGCUGGCGGCGUGCUUAACACAUGCAAGUCGAACGCUGAAGCACCAGCUUGCUGGUGUGGAUGAGUGGCGAACGGGUGAGUAAUACGUGAGUAACCUGCCCUUGACUCUGGGAUAAGCCCGGGAAACUGGGUCUAAUACUGGAUGCUACAUGUCACCGCAUGGUGGUGUGUGGAAAGGGUUUACUGGUCUUGGAUGGGCUCACGGCCUAUCAGCUUGUUGGUGAGGUAAUGGCUCACCAAGGCGACGACGGGUAGCCGGCCUGAGAGGGUGACCGGCCACACUGGGACUGAGACACGGCCCAGACUCCUACGGGAGGCAGCAGUGGGGAAUAUUGCACAAUGGGCGAAAGCCUGAUGCAGCGACGCCGCGUGAGGGAUGACGGCCUUCGGGUUGUAAACCUCUUUCAGCAGGGAAGAAGCCACAAGUGACGGUACCUGCAGAAGAAGCGCCGGCUAACUACGUGCCAGCAGCCGCGGUAAUACGUAGGGCGCAAGCGUUGUCCGGAAUUAUUGGGCGUAAAGAGCUCG